rnacentral:lncRNA from 1 species
AGAAGAGAAAGAGUCCAUAUCAAUCACAAAGCUAUCUACUUUCUCAGAAGAAUAUUGAUAUGCGUUUAUGUGAUCAGAAACCAAGAUUCUCUGUGAACCUAUCUUCAUCUGUUCUGAUUCCAAAGCCUCACAAGAAGAAGAAACCAAAUCCUAUCAAGAACACAAAACCACAAAGAUUAUUAUGAUUUAUCAAAGAAUAUUGAUGACCCAGAAUUCAAUGGAACAGUUAUUAUAAAAG